rnacentral:rRNA from 1 species
UACGGGGGGUGCAAGCGUUGUUCGGAUUUACUGGGCGAAAAGGGCGCGUCGGCGGCUUGGUAAGUCGGGUGUGAAAUCCUUCCGCUUAACGGAAGAAGGGCACCCGAAACUGCCUUGCUCGAGUGUAGGAGAGGAGAGCGGAAUUCCCGGUGUAGAGGUGAAAUUCGUAGAUAUCGGGAGGAACCCCCGUGGCGAAAGCGGCUCUCUGGCCUAAUACUGACGCUGAGGCGCGAAAGCGUGGGGAGCGAACAGG